UAGGGGAUAGUUUAGUUUUAAAAUUUUGGUUUUGGGGACCAGGGAUUGGGUGGCUUAGCCCAUCCCCUAA
rnacentral:tRNA from 1 species